GCGGUAUUUGUUUUGGUAGUCGUCGCAUCACCCAACUUAACGGCGCUAUUGUUUUGUUGGUGUGCAUACCACGACGCCUCCAGGGCCUCUUCCCACGAACGAACAACAUCGAGAGAGAAACAGAGAGAAGAAGUAGAAGAAGAAGAGGGGUAAGAGAGAAGCGAUCGCCUUCAUUUCCAUCGAGGACCCACAGAACCUCCUCCUUCCCCGUCAUUUCUCGCGUCCGAUCUAAUCGAUCGUAUCUCAAGGAUAUUUCCAUCUGAAUCGCCCGACUCCGGGCGGAUGACCCAUGGUUAGCCUAGAUAACAUCAUUGUAGGUUCUCAUGUCUGGGUUGAAGAUCCAGUUCUGGCUUGGGUUGAUGGCGAGGUUUUUAAGAUCAAUGGUAAUGAGGUCCAUGCACAUACAACUAAUGGGAAAACAGUUGUGGCAAACAUGUCAAAAGUGUUUCCCAAGGAUACAGAAGCUCCACCUGCUGGAGUGGAUGAUAUGACAAAAUUAUCAUACUUGCAUGAACCUGGUGUCCUUCAGAACCUUGCCACACGUUAUGAACUUAAUGAAAUAUAUACAUACACCGGUAAUAUCCUGAUUGCUGUGAACCCAUUUCAAAGGUUACCUCAUCUCUAUGAUACCCACAUCAUGGAACAAUAUAAAGGGGCAGAUUUUGGGGAGCUAAGUCCUCAUGUUUUUGCAGUUGCUGAUGUUGCUUACAGGGCUAUGAUUAAUGAAGGGAAAAGCAACUCCAUCUUGGUCAGUGGAGAAAGUGGGGCUGGCAAAACUGAAACAACUAAAAUGCUUAUGAGAUACCUGGCAUAUUUGGGUGGACGAUCUGGAAUAGAAGGACGGACCGUCGAACAACAAGUUCUGGAAUCCAAUCCAGUUCUUGAAGCUUUUGGAAAUGCCAAAACUGUUCGAAACAAUAACUCAAGUCAUUUCGGUAAGUUUGUUGAGAUAUAGUUUGACAAAAAUGGAAGGAUAUCUAGUGCCGCUAUUAGAACAUACUUACUUGAAAGAUCUCGUGUCUGUCAAAUUAAUGAUCCUGAAAGGAACUACCAUUGCUUUUACCUUCUCUGUGCUGCACCUCAUGAGGAGAUUGAGAAGUACAAGUUGGGAAAUCCACAGUCAUUUCAUUAUCUUAACCAAUCCAAAUGCUUUAAGCUAGAUGGGGUUGAUGAAGCUCAAGAAUAUCUAGCAACUAGAAGGGCAAUGGAUAUAGUUGGAAUCAGUGAGCAGGAACAGGAGGCAAUAUUUAGGGUUGUAGCUGCUAUACUUCAUAUUGGGAAUAUCGAUUUCGUUAAAGGGCCAGAGAUAGAUUCAUCUGUUAUCAAGGACGAGAAGUCAAGAUUCCAUCUUGACAUGGCAGCUGAACUUCUGAUGUGCAAUGUCAAGGGUUUAGAAAAUGCAUUGAUAAAACGUGUCAUGGUGACCCCUGAAGAAGUUAUUACAAGAACUCUUGAUCCUGCUUCUGCAAUUGUCAGCAGGGAUGGCUUAGCAAAAACCUUAUAUUCCCAUCUGUUUGAUUGGCUUGUAGAGAAAAUUAAUAUAUCGAUUGGGCAGGACCCUACUUCAAAGUCGCUGAUUGGAGUUCUGGAUAUAUACGGUUUUGAAAGUUUCAAAUGUAAUAGUUUUGAACAACUCUGUAUCAACUUCACAAAUGAAAAGCUGCAACAACAUUUCAACCAGCAUGUCUUCAAAAUGGAGCAAGAGGAGUAUACCAAGGAGGAGAUUAACUGGAGCUACAUAGAGUUUGUCGAUAACCAAGAUGUUCUGGAUUUGAUUGAGAAGAAACCUGGAGGCAUCAUUGCACUUCUUGAUGAAGCCUGCAUGUUUCCCAGGUCAACACACGAGACAUUUGCUCAAAAAUUGUAUCAGACAUUAAAAAACAACAAGAGAUUUAUAAAACCGAAACUUUCUCGUACCAUCUUCACAUUCUGCCAUUAUGCUGGAGAGGUAACAUAUCAAGCCGACUACUUCUUAGACAAAAACAAAGAUUAUGUUGUGGCAGAACAUCAGGAUUUACUAAAUGCUUCCAAUUGCCCAUUUGUUUCGGGUUUAUUUCCACCACUUCCUGAAGAGACAUCAAAGUCUUCAAAGUUCUCUUCCAUUGGCUCCUGCUUUAAACUACAACUUCAAUCUCUGAUGGAAACCUUGAACUCAACACAACCACAUUACAUCAGAUGUGUGAAGCCAAAUAACGUCCUCAAACCUUCUAUUUUCGAGAACUUCAAUGUUAUCCAACAAUUGCGCUGUGGAGGUGUUCUAGAAGCAAUCAGGAUCAGCUGUGCUGGAUAUCCAACUCGAAGAACAUUUUAUGAAUUUCUCCUUCGGUUCAGUCUUCUUGCUCCAGAAGUUUUGGAAGGAAACUUUGAUGACAAGGCUGCAUGCCAAAAGAUUCUGGACAAAAUUGGAUUGAAAGGUUACCAGCUAGGCAAGAGCAAAGUGUUCCUGAGAGCUGGCCAGAUGGCUGAAUUAGAUGCUAGAAGAGCAGAGGUGCUUGGAAGAGCAGCCUGAACAAUUCAAAGACAAAUCCGUACAUAUAUUGCUCGUAAAGAGUUCCUUAGGCUACGGCAAGCAUCUGUUUAUUUGCAGUCUCUCUGGAGAGGAAGACUGGCCUGUAAACUGUAUGAGUGCAUUAGACGUGAAGCAGCAGCAGUCAAAAUUCAGAAGAAUUUGCGCCGAUAUUUUGCAAGGAAAUCAUAUACAGCACUUCGAAUGUCAGCAAUUACGUUGCAAACAGGCUCAAGGGCAAUGAUUGCUCGCAAUGACUUUAGGUUGAGAAAGCAAACUAAAGCUUCAAUUUGUAUUCAGUCUCAAUGGCGUUGUCACAGGGAUUAUUCUUAUCACAAGAGGUUGCAAAAGGCAACACUUACUUAUCAGUGUGCUUGGAGACAGAGACUUGCAAGGAAAGAGCUUAGAAAGCUAAGAAUGGCUGCCAGGGAAACAGGAGCCCUUAAAGAGGCCAAAGACAAUCUUGAAAAGCGCGUGGAGGAACUGACAUGGCGUUUGCAGCUUGAGAAAAAUUUGCAGACUGAUCUAGAAGAGACAAAAGCACAAGAAAUUGCUAAACUGCAAGACAUUUUGCAUGAGAUGCAACUGCAGGUAGAACAAGCAAAAUCCACAGUUAUUAAGGAACAGGAGGCUGCACGAAAAACUAUCGAAGAAGCACUUCCGAUCAUAAAGGAAACCCCUGUCUUAGUUCAAGAUACAGAAAAGAUUGAUUCACUAAAUGCUGAAAUUGAAAACCUUAAGGUUUUGUUGCUAAUAGAAAAGCAGGCAACAGAUUCAGCCAAUAAAGCAUUUGCUGAAGCUCAGAACAGAAAUAUUGAACUGGUCAAGAAAGUUGAAGAUUCUGAAAUGAGAGCUGAUCAAUUUCAAGACACUGUUCAAAGGCUUGAAGAGAGAGUCUCAAAACUGGAGUCAGAGAACCAAGUGCUUUGUCAACAGGCGGUUGCCAUUUCACCAACUAGCAGAGCUUCAUGUUCAAAAACAAGUAUCUUCCAGAGAAGCACAGAAAAUGAGAAUAUCCUGAAUGGUGAAUCGAAACUUGCUUUGGACUUGAGUCCUGGUUCACCUAAUUCCAGAGAACUUCAAAAUGAUGAUAAACCACAGAAGUCACUCAAUGAGAAGCAGCAGGAAAAUCAGGACUUACUUAUUGAGUGUAUCUCUAAAGACUUGGGAUUCUCUGGGGGUAGGCCUAUUGCUGCUUGUGUCAUAUACAGAUGCCUUCUUCAUUGGAGAUCCUUUGAAGCUGAAAGGACUACUAUUUUUGACUGUAUAAUCCAAACAAUAGGCUCAGCUAUAGAGGCCCAGGAUAACAUUGAUGUUUUAUCCCACUGGUUGUCCAAUUCAUCUACUCUAUUGUUGCUCCUCCAACGAACAUUAAAAGCAAGUGGAGCAGCAAGUUUGACUCCACAGAGGCGUAGAACGUGAGCUUUAUUUGGGAGGAUGUCUCAGGGAAUUCGAGCCUCUCCUCAGAGUGCUGGCCUCUUUUCGUUUAGUGGUCGCAUGAUGGGUGGAUUGAGUGAUUUGCGUCAAGUUGAAGCUAAAUAUCCUGCUCUACUUUUCAAGCAGCAGCUUACUGCUUUCCUUGAGAAAAUUUUCCCAAUAGUUUUAUGGAAUGAUUGGAGACAAUCUAAAGAAAGUAUUAUCUUCACUGCUUGCCUCAUGUAUCCAGGCACCAAGAACAUCUCGUGCAAGCUUAAUUAGAGGCUCACGAUCUCAAGCAAAUGCUAUGGCCCAGCAGGCACUGAUCGCGCAUUGGCAAAGCAUAGUGAAAAGCUUAACCAACUAUUUGAAAAUCCUGAGAGCCAAUCAUGUCCCUCCAUUUUUGGUUCACAAGGUGUUCACCGAAAUUUUCUCAUUUAUAAAUGUACAACUGUUCAACAGCCUUCUGCUGAGGCGCGAGUGUUGUUCAUUUAGCAAUGGGGAAUAUCUCAAAGCAGGGCUGACUGAGUUAGAACACUGGUGCUAUGAUGCAACUGAAGAGUAUGCAGGUUCCACAUGGGGUGAAUUGAAGCAUAUUAGGCAGGCUGUUGGUUUCCUGGUAUGUUUUUUUAUGAAGAAAACCAAGACCUUGAAGGAGAUAACCAAUGAUCUAUGUCCAGUGCUCAGCAUACAACAGUUAUACAGAAUAAGUACAAUGUAUUGGGAUGACAAAUAUGGAACACAGCGUAUCAUCCGAGGUCAUUUCAAGUAUGAGAGUUAUGAUGACUGAGGAUGCAAAUAGUGCAGUCGGCAGUUCUUUCUUGUUGGAUGAUGAUUCGAGCAUACCAUUCUCCGUGGACGAUAUCUCAAAGUCGAUGACUGAGAUAGAGGUAGCAGAUGUUGAUCCACCACCUCUAAUUCGUCAGAACUCGGGCUUUGUUUUUUUGCUACAGAGGAAGGAAUCGUAGACUUCAUCUUCAAGUUUCCUAUUCAUGCCCAAGAGGUGCAUAUUCGUCUUGUAGAUAUGAUGUUAUUCUAUUCAUGCCGAAUUAGCAUAACCAGGGGUAGAUUAUGAUUUUAGUAAUCGGGUUUGAUUUGUUGAUUUAAUUUCAUGAUUCUUUUGAUGAGUUGUAUUUAUUGGCAAUAAGCCCCUGUUCUGACUCUGGGCUGCUCGGUGUCUACCGUCAAGAAGUGAGAGGAUUCUCUUCUCUACUUCAACAAGCAUUUAGAAGUUGAACGAUUGGCAAUAAGGUUAACGUUUGUUUUAUGCUGAA